UCAAAGUGGCCACGCCCUCAAAUAUGCCUAACUUUAAGUAGCUCACUUCAUAUAAUUAUAAAGUGUGAGUCAUAUAAGAUUCUCCCCCCGUACUGUUAGCUGUGGAACAUCCGAAGAACUGCCGUUUCUGGAACUUCUGUGUUUGGUUAAUAUCUCAGCAGGAGGAUGUUUAGCCCACACAUGUCAAUUUCCGCUCGUGACCGUGGCUAUACGCUUCAGGAACCUUCCUCUACACAGGAAACAACUCGGGUUUAGGCAACCAAACUACUUCGAUUGAAGGCGUGUGCGAGUUGAUCCUCAUUAGCAGGAUACCUGUGAGAGAUACAAAAUAAUGAACCACAGUUACAGCAAUAUUUAUGGUUAUGUACCCAUUUUAUUUUCUUCUAUUCAUCACCCCAGACAUAUAAUCCUAAGGAAAACUUUUAACAAUUUUUUGCUGUUGCAGAGUUAGGCCACCCGAGCGUUUCCCCAUGAGCUCAGACCUGCUGUGAUUGGAUGGAUUCAAUAGGCUUCGCCCAUGGAGAGAUGUCCUGGCAGAAACACUCCCUGGAAGCCUACACAACAGGCCGCCUCGGACCUUGGCUAAUACACACAGCGUUGGGUUUAAUCCUUCAUAA